CCGGAACCCGGCGCGCCUUGAAGAAGGCAGGCCUAAACCUCGUAGCUCUUGGGGUCCCGGUAACUACUUAGGUCCCGAACUUUUUUAAGUAUGCAGAAGAACCUUAGAAAACGCGUUAGGAAGGGUGAGGACUAACUUGACCUUGAUCUGCUUCCCGACUCAACAGAACCUAGUAAAGAAAAAUGCAGUAGCAUGAAGCAGAGAGCUUGGGGUUCCGCAAGCUCUCCCCCGCUUCUACUGCAGCCCCACUCGUACUCACAGAGAAAAGGCACCUCUGAUCUUAACCUGUAGAUAGUCCAAACUGCUAAGACAAACCCAGGGCUCAGGGCAGUGACAAGAAAUGGAGAACCCAGAAAAAAAAAUAACAAAUAAGAUAAGGGUAAAAAAGAAAAAAAAAAAAAAAGAAAUGAGGACACCAGGCAAGGAGGCGAAAAGCUCACCAACUGAAGCCGUGGAAGUGACUGAAAGCUGCCUCUUUUGUCGUAUGCCAGACUCAAGAGAACUUAUUUCUUUUGACCUAUUUGCAACUUUUAACAAGUGAGUAAAGUGUACUCCUGGGAACAACAUUUGGAGCAUAUUGCUUUCCCUCUGUGAUUUCUUCAGGAUUUAGAAACUU
rnacentral:lncRNA from 10 species